rnacentral:lncRNA from 1 species
CCCCACACAAGGUUCCUAUCUUCUAAUCCCAGCUACCUGUGAAUGUGACAUUAUUUGAAAUGGGGUCUUAAGAGAUAUAAUUAAGUAUCCUGAGAUGAGAUCAUUCUGGAUUUAGGAUGGACAUUAAAUCCAAUCACAGUUGUUAUAUGCUAUAUAACAACAUUUCAGUGAAAAACAGACUGCAUACACGAUAGACCUAUAAAAUUAUAACAAAGCAGAAAAUUUCCCAUUGCCCGGAGCCAUCCUAGCCAUCGUAAAGUCAUAGUGCAGUGCAUUACCAUGUGUUUGUGGUGAUGCUGGUGUGCAGUGUUUAUGAAGUCUACAGUAGUGUCCAGUUGUGUCCCAGGCCUUCUCAUUCACUCACCACUCACAGACUGACUCACUCAGAGCAACUUUCAGUCCUGCAAACUCCUUUCACGACACUGGAGCAUCACCAAAAGAAAAGGCCACAUGAGGACACAGUGGGAAGGUGGCCACCCACAAGCCAUGGAGACAAGAACCAGGAAAAUAUGAACCUGCUGACACCUAGUUCCUUGGCUUCCAGUUUCUGAAAAUAUGAGAAAAUCAAUUCUGUUAUUUAAGCCACUCACUGUGUGGUAUGUUGUUACAGCAGCCCUAGCAAACAUAUUCACAGCUACUGUAACCUCUAGCCCAUGAAAGCUGUGUGGAAUC